GCUGAACCAGUGAACUGGGAGGCCAGGAAGACAGCAGCGGUCGAAGGUUUGGGUGAUGUGCAGGUG
rnacentral:SRP_RNA from 14 species